GGGGACGCCCCGGCUGCCCCGACUUCGCCCGCCCUGCGGCCGAGGGAGCUGGUCCGACCUACCGGCGGCGGCGGCCCUUUUCGGCGGGCGCGCUCACGUGCAGCGUAGAGUGCCCGGCAGCGCUGCGGCAGGGAGAAGACUUCCUGAUACUUGGUAAAACAUAUCUCUACAAUGGAAUACUAUGUAGCUGUAAGAAAGAAUAAGAAAACUUUGUGUCCUGAUCUGGAAAGAGACCCAAAUAAAAGAAAUAGCACCCCUGGGUGGUUCUCAAGGAACAGCCCCGUGCUCACUCUUGCUGAUGGAUGCCACCUGACAAUUCACACGGCUGGACUUACCAUGAGGUUUGAUUAUCGGCAGUAAUUCGAUGCAGACA